rnacentral:rRNA from 1 species
UACGGGGGGAGCAAGCGUUGUUCGGAUUUACUGGGCGUAAAGGGCGCGUAGGCGGUCGUGACAAGUCACUUGUGAAAUCUCCGGGCUUAACUCGGAACGGUCAAGUGAUACUGUCGGACUAGAGUACAGAAGGGGCAACUGGAAUUCUCGGUGUAGCGGUGAAAUGCGUAGAUAUCGAGAGGAACACCUGCGGCGAAGGCGGGUUGCUGGGCUGAUACUGACGCUGAGGCGCGAAAGCGUGGGGAGCAAACGGG